CCGGGGAACGAGCGCGCGAAUUUUCAUUUUCUGGAAUCUGACAGGAUCACCGCAGCUUGGGUCGAGGCGCAGGAAAAGUUUGAGGAAACAGUUUUAUUCCGGUUCGACCACAUAUCCAAGGAUGUUUUUGGUUGUUGAAUUUCUGGAAACCAAGACUGUUAAUAUUAUAGCCGAGUCAUGGUUUGAGGAUGGUGUCACUUGGUGGCCAAAUUAUAGUAAUGAUGAACGCAUAAACAGAGCUGUACAAAAGUGUGAGGAACCAAGAACAGGCUGGAAACAGUAUGAUGUUCGAGUCCUCUCAAGAACUGGCACGUUUUUGGUGAUACAGACUCGGACAAUGAACUAGAAGUGGGUAAAAAGAGGAGAUGCAGCAGUAUCUCCUCUGCACCAGCACCACCUAUUCCUCCACCUACUCCUGACAUACCCUCUGAUUCAGCUCGCCAGACCUCUACUGGACCUCUGCUAAACCUGAGGCAUACUGAAUAUCCCUGUUUUACGACUGUGCCACCUGCCCCCAUUACGACACUUGGCAUGCCUUCCAGUCCUCUUCACCACUUCUCCAUUAGACAUUCUGAACAUGGCCGUUACACAGCUCCAGUGCAUGCAGUUACCACCCCCAUCUCUCACAUGCCCUCAAGCUCUAUGAGCCAGGUCUCUGCUACACCUCUUUCUGAAGAACAUCAAGACCAUUCAUUUAACCCCAGGUUUAGACUGGGGAGGACAGGCACUGGACCUAUUCCUUGCUCUGCCGCUCAACUGCACAUCCUAACAUUGUUGGAACAUAUCAAGGAACAGCAGAUGCAGCUUGCUGCUAUCGUUAAUAAUCUUGCUGCACGUAUGGCGACAGACACUGCUGUGGCUGAAAUGCCUCCCAAUAUCAGUUUGCCACUGGCCACCAUGUCUGAAGUUGAGGAGUUGGAGGAGUGGCUUAAAGAUUCAAGAAACUCGCAGGCUAAGCAAAACAUGAUUUCUGCUCUGGGUGCUACAGGAGGACAAAACGCUAAACGAGUCACAUGGAACAUACUUUCAAGGCUUUUCUCAGAUGCAGUAGCCAAAAAAAUUAA